CCUGACUGCUAUCGGAUUGAUACUAAGCCAUGCGAGUCAUUGUAGCAAUACAAGGCAGACGGCUCAGUAACGCGUAGUCAAUCUACCCUAUGGACGGGAAUAAUCUCGGGAAACUGAGAAUAAUGCCCGAUAGAACAUUAUGCCUGGAAUGGUUUAUGUUUCAAAUGAUUUAUCGCCAUAGGAUGGGACUGCGGCCUAUCAGUUUGUUGGUGAGGUAAUGGCCCACCAAGACUAUUACAGGUACGGGCUCUGAGAGGAGUGGCCCGGAGAUGGGUACUGAGACACGGACCCAGGCCCUAUGGGGCGCAGCAGGCGAGAAAACUUUGCAAUGUGCGAAAGCACGACAAGGUUAAUCCGAGUGGUUUCUGCUAAAGAAACCUUUUGUCAGUCCUAGAAACACUAACGAAUAAGGGGUGGGCAAGUUCUGGUGUCAGCCGCCGCGGUAAAACCAGCACCUCAAGUGGUCAGGAUGAUUAUUGGGCCUAAAGCAUCCGUAGCUCGUUUUGUAAGUUUUCGGUUAAAUCCAUACGCUUAACGUAUGGGCUGCCGGGAAUACUGCAUAACUAGGAAGUGGGAGAGGUAGACAGUACUCGGUAGGAAGGGGUAAAAUCCUUUGAUCUAUUGAUGACCACCUGUGGCGAAGGCGGUCUACCAGAACACGUUCGACGGUGAGGGAUGAAAGCUGGGGGAGCAAACCGGAUUAGAUACCCGGGUAGUCCCAGCUGUAAACUAUGCAAACUCAGUGAUGCAUUGGCUUGUGGCCAAUGCAGUGCUGCAGGGAAGCCGUUAAGUUUGCCGCCUGGGAAGUACGUACGCAAGUAUGAAACUUAAAGGAAUUGGCGGGGGAGCACCACAAGGGGUGAAGCCUGCGGUUCAAUUGGAGUCAACGCCGGAAA
rnacentral:rRNA from 1 species